rnacentral:rRNA from 1 species
CUCCGCCUGGGGACUAAGGCCGCAAGGUUAAAACUCAAAGGAAUUGACGGAGAUCAGACCAAGUAGUGGAGCAUGUGGUUUAAUCCGAUAAUCCGCGUAGAACCUUACCAAUUCUAGUUUGUAUUUAAAAAUAUAUAGUAUUAUAUUGAUUAGUUUUGUUGCAAUUUAAGUUAUUGUUUCAAAAUAAAUACAGUCAGGUGUUGCAUGGCUGUCGUCAGUCCGUGUCGUGAGAUGUCGGGUUAAAUCCGAUAACGGACGCGACCCUCGAACUAAAUUUUUUUAGUUGAACGAUAAUGUAAGAUUAUAGGAAGGUGAGGACAACGACAAGUCGUUAUGGCCUUUAUGAAUUGGGCUACACACGUGCUACAAUGGUACUUACAAAGAGAUGCAAAAACGCAAGUUUUAGCUAUUCUUCAAAAAGAAAUCGUAGUUCGGAUUAUUCUCUGCAAUUCGAGAAUAUGAAGCUGG